ACUCUAUUGCAAGGAUACAUUA
rnacentral:rRNA from 1 species